AACUAGCCCUGAUAGUAGCGGCAUCCUUUUUCUUUUUUUCUAAAAAUAGAAAAAGAUACAGCGAAUAGCGGGAUAAGCU
rnacentral:sRNA from 1 species